rnacentral:tRNA from 1 species
GAGGCUGUAGCUCAGUGGUAGAGCGCUUGCCUAGCAUGCAUGAGGCACUGGGUUUGAUCCUCAGCACCACA